GGUCUGGUGGUCUAGUGGUAUGAUUCUCGCUUAGGGUACACCCUAUGCCAUAAAAAGCGUUAACGCGCUUGGAUAUGCGAGAGGUCCCGGGUUCAAUCCCCGGCCAGACCC